AGAAAAGCCCUGGUCUUCAGGGGGUUGUGUGGGGAGGACAGUUUGACCUGUUGGAGGAAGAGAAAGAAGAAUAGAGGAAGGGAGAGAAUGAUAAGGAGACAACGGGAAGACGAUAAGGCGGCUUUUGAUUGGCUCCUCACUCCUGCUGCUCAUUUCCCUGUCAGAACCGCAAGCAGAGGUUACAAAUGGUCCACGAGGUCAUGCCAAAUGCUGGAAGGGGAGCCAUGAAUGUUCAUUGCCCCAGGUCCUGUGUGUGUUUGUGUGUGCGUGUGUUUGUGUUUGUGUUUGUGUGUGGUUUCCAGUGCGUGGGUGCAUACACACUUCCUGAACAAAGCGGCAUCUGGAGCUAAUGCACUUCCUGCUGUGAAACAUCUGCUCAUUGCCUUAAAUCAGGUA
rnacentral:lncRNA from 10 species